rnacentral:tRNA from 1 species
UUUUAUAUAGUAUAUUUUUUAAAUAUUUUCAAUUUCGACUUGAAAGAAAAUAAGUAAUUUAUUUAU